GACGAACGCUGGCGGCGUGCUUAACACAUGCAAGUCGAACGAAGUGGCGAACGGGUGAGUAACGCGUAAUCAACCUGCCCUUCAGAGGGGGACAACAGUUGGAAACGACUGCUAAUACCGCAUACUGAAGGAGGGGAUUGCGUCUGAUUAGCUGGUUGGAGGGGUACAGGCCCACCAAGGCGAUGAUCAGUAGCCGGUCUGGGAGGAGGAACGGCCACAGUGGGAAUGGGACACGGCCCAGACUCCUACGGGAGGCAGCAGUGGGGAAUCUUCCGCAAUUGACGAAAGUCUGGCUGAGCAACUCCGGGUGAGGGAUGACGGCCUUCGGGUUGGAAAGCUCUGUUAAUCGGGACGCGGUACCGGAAUAGAAAGCCACGGCUAACUCCGUGCCAGCAGCCGCGGUAAUUC
rnacentral:rRNA from 1 species